rnacentral:lncRNA from 1 species
UUAAAAUGUAAAAUAGAGAUAUUAAGUAAAUAAAAAGUACAAGAAAUGGAAAUACAUAUACAGGAAAAUAAAUUAUAAGUAAAUAAUAUAAAUAUAUAAUAUAUGAAUUAUAUAUAUAAUAAUAAGUAAAUACACAAUUUUUUUUAAAAAUGGAAAAAGUUCAUUAAGCAUUAAACAUCUAUCUUAAAAUAUAAAAUAUAUGAUAAAAGUAAAUACACAAUUUAAAAAAAAUGGAAAAAGUACAUUAAGAUUUAAAUAUCUAUUUUAAAAUAUAAAAUAUAGAUAUUACGUAAAUAAAAAAUAUAAGAAAUGGAAAUAAACAUUUUAAAAAAUGGAAAAAGUACAUUAAGAUUUAAACAUCGAUCUUAAAAUGUACAUCUAUCUUAAAAUGGUAGUAAAUUAUAUAAAAAUGGAAAUAGCACAUUUAACAAAAAAAAAAAAAAUGUAUAGUUUUACAUCAAAAAGUCCUUAUAAAACUCAUUAUUCCAUCAACAUCAACCUCACACUAUCAAGGAAAACUUCAAAGCACUCGAGCAAAAAAAUGGUUCCACCAUCAACUCUUGCCGUCCCAAAAACCUUUAAUGAUCUUGAAAGAGAUUUUUUAUAACAACGAACUUUUUGUUAGGUGGAUUCAUUGUUGGAAAACCCGCAACUUUCAAAAACCAAACUUAUUCAUGGGAAUUCAAUUGCUUUUCAUAGACUCAAAGGUAUUCUUACAAAUUUAAAUUAAUCAAAUCCAUAAUUUUAUUGUUAAUAUUCAUACUAACUCUUUCAUGAUCAAACCAUUACAGUUAAUAAUCAUUUAAGCGUUUAUCCCGAAACACUUCCU